rfam:Myotis brandtii contig317455, whole genome shotgun sequence.
CCCACCCCGUGGCCAUAUCUGUCUGCUGCAUGGAGCGUCACUCGAGGAUUUCCUGCGCGUGUGGAUUACAGUGAUGUCCAGCUGCUGCGGAA